GCCUGGCCCAUAUUUUCAUUUUUGUACAUUACUCUAUUUUUCUUUCUUUAGAGACACCUUUUCCUUAGCUGGUUUCUUCAGAAAGUAGAGUCUGAGGCAAGGGUUUAUGUGCCACGAUUUUCUUAGGGAGCAUACAUUAAGGACCAGGAGGGAAGGAUAAAUAACGUGAGACAGAAAAGGAGAUAAAACCAAUACAGGUACAAGGAAGUGUAUUGAACUGGCUACCACUAAGGACAGCUGAUUGUUUGAUAUCACAGAGUUAUCUUCAAUGAAGCCAUGUAAAAAAUGUCUCAAGAAUGUCUCUUUGGGUGAGAAAAGGGGAAGAAUUUAUCCCCUGCUCCCAUAUCUCAUUGGUCAAAGCCUCAUUCUAAUGGGUCCAUUCUCCUGCACGCCCAGAUUGUACAGGUGUGAGGGUUGCUGUGAAUUUCCACGCCUUGUUAUCAAACAGAGAAAUCUCAGAGUAACAGGUGAGAGCGCAUGGGGUGGGAUGAGGCAAAGUGCCAUCUGGUUGUGCCUUCAGGAAGCUGCUUGCUGAGGUGACAGCUGGAACAAGAGACGAGUGAAGCUGAGAGGUCUAAAGUGAUUUCUAUCACCCUUGGUCAGCACUUUGCCAUUGAUCUGCACUGCCUGCCCGGUAAUAUGAUCAAGACCUACAUCACCAAGAGGUCUGAGGUUGUUGGUCAUACGUGGUCACCAAGUGGGAUCCUAUGUCUUUGUGUCAACUGGGAAGCCGCAGGAAGAAGGUAAAGGGUUUACAGUGCAGUUAUGAGGCUAGACAGUGUUAGACCAUGCAGAGCUGGUCAUUGCUGUAGCAGCUGGAACAAGACAAGUGAGGCUGAGAAUAUCUGAAGUGAAACAUAAGUGUUGGAUAUACCUCUCAAAAGCACACUUCCAAAGAAGUGUGACCCAACUGUCUCCAGGAUAUAGAAAUCAAUGAAGCAAUUUCAUUCUUAAUAUGGAGUUUUGCUGGCUCAUAGGACUCCAUCUGCAUGACUCCCUCUCCACAGCCCCUCACUCUGUAGGCAAUCUUGGAAGCCUCCGAGGAUGUCUCGAAAGUGUUUGAGAUUCCUUCUGGGCCUGUACUUUCGGUGACAAUGCCUCUGUAUACAUCCUGUUUCCUACACUGCCAGCCUUGGUCCCUCCAGCCUGAUCCCCUGCUACUGCUGGUGCUCUGCUCUAGAGGCCAGCCUUGCUAAGUGCCUUGGCCAAGAAGCUUACACCUACAAAGAAAGAAAAUGGUGUUCUCUCUUGCAUCAUGCUAUGUCAGGGGAGAGGCCUACUCCUGCAGUGGCGUUGUUUGGGCUCCACGGUGUUACAGACUUUGGUGACACAGCAUUGCCAGUUUUAUUUAUUUAUUUUUCUUCUCUCCAGGGCUAGCAUACAACACAAAGAUAAUUGGGCCAGGGUAGAUUCAAAUAACAGCCUUUGUGCUGAACCAAGGGUCAUUACUCCUUUUGAUCCUUAAGUCCUGUUGCUAAGCCCAGCUUACUGUGCCAGAAUUUUUCUUCCCCCAGGAUAAAUUUUCUCCUAGGAAUUGCACAGCUCUUGCAAUAUAGUAUCUGAUGCAUCUUUCUCCCUCUGAUCUCCUCCAGUUUGCCAAAGGACUUUGUACAAUUUUUUUUUUUCUUGUU